GAACAGGAUCAGUCACAGGGUGAAAGAACAGGACAGGACCAGUACAGGGCGAGAGAACGGGACCAGCCAUAGGGCAAGAGAACAGGACCAGCCAUAGGGUGAGAGAACAGGGUCAGUCACAGGGUGAGAGAACAGAACAGGACCAGUCACAGAGCGAGAGAACUGGACCAGCCAUAGGGCGAGAGAACAGGACCAGUGUAACGGACCACCUGGCACCCCGAC